AGUGAACGCUGGCGGUAGGCCUAACACAUGCAAGUCGAACGGCAGCACCGUAAGAGCUUGCUCUUACGGGUGGCGAGUGGCGGACGGGUGAGGAAUACAUCGGAAUCUACUUUUUCGUGGGGGAUAACGUAGGGAAACUUACUCUAAUACCGCAUCCGACCUACGGGUGAAAGCAGGGGAUCUUCGGACCUUGCGCGGUUGAAUGAGCCGAUGUCGGAUUAGCUAGUUGGCGGGGUAAAGGCCCACCAAGGCGACGAUACGUAGCUGGUCUGAGAGGAUGAUCAGCGACACUGGAACUGAGACACGGUCCAGACUCCUACGGGAGGCAGCAGUGGGGAAUAUUGGACAAUGGGCGCAAGCCUGAUCCAGCCAGACCGCGUGGGUGAAGAAGGCCUUCGGGUUGUAAAGCCGUUUUGUUGGGAAAGAAAAGCAGCAGGUUAAUACCCCGCUGUUCUGACGGUACCCAAAGAAUAAGCACCGGCUAACUUCGUG
rnacentral:rRNA from 1 species